CUCCCUCUCUCACAUACCUGGCAGUGCGGCCCUGACCACAUCGUCCCCAACCUCUCGCUCUAUCCGCGCGGGAUAGAGCACGGCGCUGCAGCCCGAAACCGCCGGCCGCACCUCGCGUAGAUAACGUCUAUCCGCAGCUCCGCAGACGCCCUAGAUCGCGCCUAUAUAAAGCCUGCGAGCCCCUCGUCCCAUUCUGCCACACCGCACCAUCUCUUGCUGCUCGUAGACGCCGCUGUUGCCAUUGGAUCUCGCUGGAGCCGGAGCUUUCCAUCGACAUUUCGAACGCCGGUGAACCUCCCUAGCCUCCUUUUUCUUACCGGAAUCGAAUCCCCUGGUCCCUCUGCUUCUUGCUGACAUCUUCUUUGCCCCUAGGACGCACCGCAGCAGCCACCCCGACGACCUGCGUCGUCGGAGUUCGCCGGAGGACAGGAGCUCCGCCCCCUGCCUCCGCCCGUCGCCGCCGACCGCCGUCAGCACCGUUCGGCCGCCCUGGACGAGCCACACCCGCCCGACCACCUCGCCCGCACCGGAGCCCGCCGGAGCCGCCGCCCCUGCCGUCGCCGAGUUCCUGCCAACGAGUUCUCGUCUCUGUAAUAGCCUGCCUCUCUACGUUAGCAGUUUAGGUUUUUAUUAUUAUUACUAGGAAAUGUGUCCGUGCGUUGCUACGGGUUAAACAUUAAAUCAUUAAUCAUGUCGACCGUUCAUACACGUGCACGUGACAACCUAGAGGCUUCUUCCCAUACUCAGAUUGAUCUAACAAUAAUUAGAUUGUGCAAAGUGCAGUCAACAAGGACUUUAAUCACUCGUUGGGUGUUGAACCAGAUCUUAAUAUUUCCGCAGCACCACACUUUCCGUUUGUGCUAAGAGAUAAUGUGAUCAAGUAAAGAUUGUUGCCACCGAUUAAACAAUAUUUAUUUCAUAUAAUCAUAGAAAAAUGAUAUAGCACAUUUACUAUAAAUAAUGGAUAUUUCUUAAGUCAUGGCUCAUUGCUUAGUAAGUCAAAUCAACCAAGCAGUCUACUUAAGUAGCAGAAAUGACAAAGAAUGGCUCACAUUUUUUGUCAAAAUAUCCAGAAGCAAGCUUUAAAAAAGCCUAAUCUCAUUGUACAAUCCCAGCGACAGUAGUCCUCCCCCAUCAUGUUUGUUAACCGAUCACCAGGGCAAGGCAAGGCAUGGCAAUCCGGCCUUCUACAACUUGAGGGC
rnacentral:lncRNA from 1 species